ensembl:lncRNA
CGGGGGCGGGGGGCGGGGGGCGGGCGCCGGGGGGCGGGGGCGGCGGGCCAGGCCCUCCCCGCGCUUCUCCGCCCCUUCCCGCCCCGCCCACAGCCCUCCUCCUGGCAGCCCAGCAACAAGCGGCCACCGCCCCCACCCCGGGGCGGGCAGACAGGCACAGCCACCCCGUGGUGCUCCCGGAAGACACCGCGUCUCCAACGUUUACGCAGAGAUGCUGCUCGGCUCAGGUCGGGUCCGUACGCUUCCCGAGGUGCGUACUACGCGAGCCACACAUAUCACUCCCGAUAUUCCUGGGAAAGUCGGUGCCACAGUCAGUCAGCUGCAAGCGUGGGGUUGCCGGUGACGCGCUCUGCCCGUGAAGACGCCCAUUGUGCGGGACAGGCGCGGCCAGGGCGCAGCGUCCAGGAGGUGGGUAGGCAGCCGAACUUGCACUGGCCACGAGCGCUUCACCUUCUAGAAUCUGCCAGGGACCAAGCAUCAACUCCCAGGGAGAAAAUAAAAUGUGAAGUUGGAAGACACACGCUGCCCUUCACUUUUCUGAGGAGUUCACAUCGGUUUCCGCAUUCCGCGUUCUCAGUUCGCUUUGCCCCGGCUAGUGGGCUCCAUCGCCUGGACCGCAAACGCACCAGGGCGUGCCCGCCGGGGGCGAGGCCAAAGAAACCGCACGUUUCGAGUCCCCAGUUGCUGAGAAACAAUCACAGCGCUCCUCUUUUCUUCCCCUGCCGUUGCAGGUUCCGACCUGAAUCCGAAAGUGCUUCUAAAUCCCAUGCUCCACAGGAGGUUCGGAGGGGGAGGCGCUCGGGGGGGACUGCUGCGUGCCCAUGUAGCCGAACCGACUCGAAUAAAAGCGUGUCUACGUCUACAUCACACAUCUGUGCAAAUGCAGAAGCCUGCGGAUGCUCGGGGCUGGCCAGACUUCAAUGUGCAGACACAUGGGCUCAUGCACGCGCGCGCGCUCACACACACUCACACCCCAAAUUACCUCCGGGAUGGAGAAAGCCGCAGCGGAUUGGCCAGCAGAACCGUCACUCACGCCCAGGGGGCAGGGACACUUCGCAAAGCUGUUUCCUUUUUUUUUUUUUUUUUUUUUUUUCUUCUCCUCUCCUCCCUACCGUUUCAUUUAAUGGUAAAACAACAGCAGAGCUCUGAAAGUUAGCCAUCUGCGCGGAGUUUGCCUUCUUUAAGGAAGGAGGCGUCAGACGAUAUCCAUUUAAAUGUAUUUUGUACUUCCACAAAGGAUGGAAAGGGAAAUUAACGAUGGGAGUGGAGGCGGAAAGGGAGCUCCGAAUAAGAAGGAGGGGUCAUCCCGCGGGGGGAGGGGGGGCCGGGGGCGGACGCAAGGGAAAGAGUUCUUCUCUACACAGAAGAGGGACUUUGACCUUCCAUUGAUCUCGAAAUUAAAAAAUGUUUUUCACAGGUCAGAUUGUAACCAAAACUCGUUCAUAAUUUAUGAACUCGUCGUUUUGAUUUUAUUAUUUAAGCAUGCGCCAGCAGUCGUGUUUCCUUAAGAAAGAACUGACCUAUUUUUGGCUGGAGAUAAACGAUCAUGUUAACAGAUGUUAAUCUUGUAAUCUGUUUUUCCUGUAAGCACUUUACCUACCCGGGUUUCAGACAUCUUUUCCAAAAAGACCUGACGUCACAAUUGACUCCCUGAAAAAUCACACUCCCCCUCCAGUUUCUUCCCCUGCAAUGAUUUCAAAGACGUUAAAUCUUUUCCACUUUAUAAAUGCUGAUCUGUUCUGCCUCUACUCCCACAGGCUUUUAUUUGCAUUUUAAAUUCCACAGGUUACACCAGUCGCCUUUUCAAAAAAUAUAAACCAACAAUGAAGCAGCAAAUGGCUUUUUGUGCAUCUGGAUUAAAUAAAACACAGAAUGAAUAUAUUUAAAAAGAAGGCUGCGCAAGUUGAUCUUUGCACACCCGGAGACCCAGUGACUCUUUAUCAGCGGAAUGAGUAAGACACACACACAGCCCCCAGAGCUCCCGGUCUGAUCCUGGGCUGCUGCGGGAGGCUUAUUAACGCUGAUAAUGGAUGGGGCUGACUUACAGACCCACAUUUUUCGGGUAAAAGGCUGGUUCCUAAUUGCGGGGUCCACUGGCUUUCCUCGGCGCACACCAACCUUCCUCCAUCAACUGCUGCUUUUAAAAACCCCACUCGGCUGCCGGGUAACAAACUUAUUCAUACAAACUUUCUUUAAAACUUGACGAGGCGGUUUAAUCUAAAUACUGAUCGUAACUAUCCAGUCUGUUAGUUCUCCCUGGAAAUGGCAGCGGAGGCGCCUCCCCCACCUCCCGCCCAACCACACACACCCCACCGAAUUCUUCCUUCAUACACCCGGGUUCAUCUCCCCACCGAGGCCUCCCCCACCCGCACC